rnacentral:rRNA from 1 species
UAGAGGGUGGUGGAAUUUCCUGUGUAGCGGUGAAAUGCGUAGAUAUAGGAAGGAACACCAACCUAGGUAUCGGCCUGGUAGUGGGCGAUAACGUCCGGAAACGGGCGCUAAUACCCGAUACGUCCUGAGGGAGAAUGUGGGGGAUCUUCGGACCUCACGCUAUCAGAUGAGCCUAGGUCGUCAGCAUUAGAUACCCUGGUAGUCCACGCCGUAAUCGAUGUCGACUAGCCGUAGGGAUCCUUGAGAUCUUAGUGGCGCAGCUAACGCGAUAAGUCGACCGCCUGGGGAGUACGGCCGCAACAUUAGCUAGUUGGUGGGGUAAAGGCCUACCAAGGCGACGAUCCGUAACUGGUCUGAGAGCAUGAACAGACACACUGGAACUGAGACACGGUCCAGACUCCUACGGCAGGCAGCAGUGGGGAAUAUUGGACAAUGGGCGAAAGGCUGAUCCAGGCAUGCCGCGUGUGUGAAGAAGGUCUUCGGAUUGUAAAGCCCUUUAAGUUGGGAGGAAGGGCAGUAAGUUAAUACCUUGCUGUUUAGACGUUACCAACACAAUAAGCACCGGCUAACUUCGUGCCAGCAGCCGCGCUAAUACGA